UACGGAGGGUGCGAGCGUUGUCCGGAAUCAUUGGGCGUAAAGGGCGCGUAGGUGGCCCGGUCAGUUCGUGGUGAAAGCGCGGGGCUCAACCCUGCGUCGGCCAUGAAUACUGCCGCGGCUGGAGCACUGUAGAGGCAGGCGGAAUUCCGGGUGUAGCGGUGGAAUGCGUAGAGAUCCGGAAGAACACCGGUGGCGAAGGCGGCCUGCUGGGCAGUUGCUGACACUGAGGCGCGACAGCGUGGGGAGCAACAGGA
rnacentral:rRNA from 1 species